AUGAGCUCAGGCAAAAGUACCCGCUACAACCGCUUCUCUGGGGGGCCUGCCAAACUUCCCUCCCCAGAAGGCAGCGGGGCCAGAAUGGAAAAGACCUUUGGGCCUGCCUUUUCAGCGGCCACCACCAUCACCAAAGCAGCUGAUGGAACAAACACAUACAAACAGCACCGCGGGACGCCUUCUUCCUCACCACGGGAUGAGGAGGACAGCAUGCCCCUAUCAGCACUCCUCGCCGCUCUGACUUAGCCAUCUCUGUUCCCUGCACUCCGAGUCCGGCAAGUCUCUGCGCUCCACAUUCUCGGUGCCGAGGAAGAGGAGGAGCUGGAGCCACUGGUGUUUGCGGAGCAGCCUUCAGUGAAGCUAUGCUGCGGCUCUGUUGCAGUGCGUUCACGGACCCUGUGAUCACCGGUUGUGCGCACUCGUUCUGUAGAUGUGCCUUGAAGUCAGAGAAGUAUCCUGUAGACAACGCCAAGCUGACAGUAGUGGUGAAUAACAUUGCGGUAGCUGAGCAGAUUGGUGAACUCUUCAUCCAUUGCCGACAUGGCAAACGUGCAGCAGGUGCUGGGAAGCCUAGUGUCUUCGAGACCUCCGCGGCCGCCCCUUCACCAUAAAGCUCAGUGCCCACAGCCAGGGAAGCUGUGACUACAGGUCUGUGCGCUGCUCCAACAACCCCAGCUGUCCACCCCUGCUCAAGAUGAACCUAGAGGCCCACCUGAAGGAGUUCGAGCACAUCAAAUGUCCGCACUCUAAGUACGAGUGUACAUUUAUGGGGAACCAGGACGCAUAUGAGAUACGCUUGGAGACGUGCUGCUUUGAGGGCUUGAAGGAGUUCCUACAGCAGACAGAUGACCGUUUCUAUGGGAUGCAUGCAGCACUGGCCCAGAAGGACCAGGAGAUUGCUUUCCUGCGCUCUACGCUGGGCAAGCUCUCAGAGAAAAUUGACCAGCUAGAGAAGAGCCUCGAACUCAAGUUUGAUGUCCUGGACGAGAACCAGAGAAAGCUUAGCGAAGACCUCAUGGAGUUCCAGAGGGAUGCGUCCAUGUUGAAUGAUGAGCUGUCUCACAUCAACGCAUGCCUGAACAUGGGCAUCCUUGGAUCCUAUGACCCUCAGCAGAUCUUCAAGUGCAAAGGGACCUUUGUGGGUCACCAGGGCCCUGUCUGGUGUCUGUGUCUAUUCCAUGAGCGAUCCGACACCAUGGGUGACCUGCUUUUUAGUGGCUCUUCUCACAAGACCAUCAAGGUGUGGGACACAUGUACCACUUACAAGUGCCAGAAGACACUGGAGGGCCAUGAUGGCAUUGUGCUGGCACUCUGCAUCCAGGGGUGCAAACUGUACAGUGGAUCUGCAGACUGCACCAUCAUUAUGUGGGACAUACAGAACCUGCAGAAGGUGAACACCAUCGGGCCCAUGACAACCCUGUGUGUACAUUGGUGUCCUCACACAACAUGCUCUUCAGUGGCUCCCUGAAGGCCAUCAAGGUCUGUGACAUGGUGGGCACUGAGCUGAAAUUGAAGAAGGAGCUCACAGGCCUCAACCAUUGGGUGUGGGCCCUGGUGGCAGCCCAGAGCUACCUGUACAGUGGCUCCUACCAGACAAUCAAGAUUUGGGACAUCCGGACCCUCAAUUGCAUCCAUGUCCUACAGACAUCUGGUGGCAGUGUCUACUCCAUCACUGUGAUGAAUCACCACAUUGUCUGUGGCACCUACAAGAACCUCAUCCAUGUAUGGAACAUUGAGUCCAAAGAGCAGGCGCGGACCCUAAUGGGCCACGUGGGCACAGUGUAUGCCCUGGCAGUCAUUUCAACACCAGACCAGACCAAAGUCUUCAGUGCAUCCUAUGACCAGUCCCUUAGGGUCUGGAGUAUGGACAACAUGAUCUGCACACAGACGCUGUUGCGCCACCAGGGCAGUGUGACCACGCUGGCUGCAUCCCGGGGUCGCUCUUCUCAGGGGCUGUGGAUAGCACUGUGAAGGUUUGGACAUGCUAA